rnacentral:snRNA from 1 species
AUCAAUCCUUAACCUUUUGGCUAAGAUCAUAUAAUAUCUGUUCUUAUCAGUAUAAUAUCUGAUGUGUCCUCCCCCCGAGGACAAUGUACUACAUUGAUUUUGGAACAGGAACUUGGUCUGUCUGUUCCACGCACUGACCUGACAUUGCAGUAUUGCUAGGAAUGGUGCACCCCUU